rnacentral:rRNA from 1 species
CAAUAGCGUAUAUUAAAGUUGUUGCGGUAAAAAAGCUCGUAGUUGGAUUUCUACCGAAGAUAGCCGGUCGGGUCUUCGACCUUGUAUCUGGUUUUGUCUUUGGUAUCCUCAUAGGGAACGUUUCUGCGCUUUAUUGCGUGGUGCGGUAUCUAUGACUUUUACUUUGAGGAAAUUAGAGUGUUCACGGCAGGCAAACGCCUUGAAUAUAUUAGCAUGGAAUAAUAACAUAGGAUCUUCGUCCUAUUUUGUUGGUUUCUAGGGCUAAGAUAAUGAUUAAUAGGGAUAAUUGGGGGCAUCUGUAUCAACGCGUCAGAGGUGGAAUUCUUGGAUUGCGUUGCGACAAACUACAGCGAAAGCAUUUGCCAAGGAUGUUUUCAUUGA